UAGACACCUUAUUUAUAUAGGUUAGUUAUUUUAGUUAUUUAGCGACGCACCAUAGUAGACGCAUAUUGAACGGGACUAGUGACGUUUGGGAUAUGUUGGGUUAGAGACCGGAAAAUCAGUUAGCGUUAGAACAUUCCAGGGUAACGACGUGUUUAGUGACAGAGACUUCUACUGUGGCCUUUUAUCAUAAUAAAUAUAUAUUAACUUGUUCAUCAUCGUUGACUACAUCUCUUCACCUGUUACAAUCGAUGUGCCAGUUCUUGUUUGUGUUGUUGGUCAACUACACGUAAUACACCCGAACAAUUACACCCAAACGAUUGCAGAGUAAUUGGUUGACUUCAAGACAGCCUGAACUAGCAACAUCACAGUGGCGACCCCGAACCUCGAAGCCGGACCCCUGAUGAAGCCGAACAUCGUACCGGACCUCGAAGCAGAACGUUUACUCAGGUGAGGGUCGUGCACUCGAAGAUAUAAGAUUUCAUCGGAGUACGGCUGAACACAGCAGCAUCGCAGAGUGACUUUGUUCUGGAUCUACAAGCAGUCGUCGCCUGUUUGAUCGCACGUUCAACGAGCCGUUAACUCAGGGUGACCUUCGUCAGGACCGUAAUCAUCGCAACGCCUGAUCUUCAUAUGCUGAAUCGACCUACAACCAGAGAAACCGUUCAUUCAUAACGGGUGAGAGAUCGUUAGUGAACCUGUUGGACAUAUUUUUUCUUCGUCAUAGGAGCCACAUUGAGUAUCAAGUUUUACCUCGUCAGUUUCGAGAAGGACAGUUUGCCCGCUGUCAGAAGUAUUGUGAGUACUACAAGUUUGGUAGCUAACUAAAUCGAAAUCGCUCUGUCGUCUUACCCUUGGAGAGAUUCUUGUGGAGCAGUUUGCUCAUUGAACCGGUUGCUUGCCACGUUUAUAACGGUCACUGUGUUUAACCUUUGGAAGGUUAGUGAAGUAAUCUUUAUCAGUACUGAACAUUGACAUAUCUAGUAUUCGUCGGUCUAGACCAUAUCUAGACUUGUUAGCAGUGAAGUUGUGGAAACAGCUACAUCCACUUAAUUUCGUUGAAAACCGUUAAUCGUCUAACGGAACGUCGUCGGAGGUGACCUUGGUUUCACCUAGUCUACAUUGGACAGUUGGUCUAGUGAAGCAGAGUACAACAGCAAACUUCGUCGUACUACCAGAGUAGCAGCAGAAGCAGUGAACUAUUUUAGAGAACCGUUAUUCGUCAGCCCAGAUCAAGUCAUCGUCAAGAAAUUCGUUAUUCGUCAGUCGUCCAGAUCAAGUUGCCGUCAAGAGACUGUUAUUUGUCAGUAGUCGUCUACACAAGUCAAGUCAUCGCCAGAAGAACCGUUAACCUAUUCGUCAGUAACUGUGUACACAAAGUCGUCGGAACUACACAUACGGUCAUCAACAGUCGUCAAAGAAACUGGAACAUUUUACUGUGGCAUAUCAGGACAUCUGUGGCAUUACGUGGGAUACUGGUAGCACCGGAGAACAGAGUCAGAACUGGAAGAGAGGCAGUGGAAUUUGUUGUGAUCUAGCAUAUUCGGGAGUCCGAACAAAGGGAUCUUUCUUAUCAAAAGCUAAGUGCCAUUUUUCUUAUUAGUAUAUGUUUAGAUUGCCCUUAGAAAUAGAUUUUGUCUAAAUUUGGUACGUUAGCCUGAGUAAAAUCAGGUGGUGCGCCUUAAAACCCGUCGGGGUAGAAGACGUAAUUUAGAUGAAAAGCUAUAUUAUACGUUUAGGGUUGUAAUUUGUUUUGUUUGUGCAAACGUCAUAUCCGUUGUUGCCUGGUUACUUCGUGACGUUAUCAUUGUGUGCCAUAUUGUCACAUCCCAACCCAUAGUGAUAGUCUCAUUUAAUUAUUUCAUUUGUUUAUAUUAUUUUAAAUUAUUUAUUUUUAUUAAUUUAAUUAGAUCUGUAUUUUUUUUUCACUUAAUGAUAGAAAGUGCGGGUAGGAUUCUUUUACUGUGAAUCAGACUAAAAUAAUUUUAGUUUGAGCGGUUAAAAUCAAAUAUGAUUUUGCCAUGAGAAUAAUGCCGAAACUGGCUAUGUAGUCAAACACUAUCGUCUGGCUAAAUUUAGAUCUGCAAAUUAUUGUACAUCUCUUUGGUACAAUUUAAUUAUCUAGACUCUACUUUGAAAUAUUAUUAAGUUGAAGAUGAAUGAAGAUUACUGUCAGUGAAGAACAAUUGUGACUUAUGAGGUGCCCAUAGGAUGCCACAUUUUCCUCUAUGAUGAACUGUAUACCAAUGAAGAUGAUUCUGGAAUGUUAUGAACUGUUAUGAACAUUGACAUGAAUAUGAGGAACUGUCAAGAUGAAGAUGUCAAGAUGAAGAGAUCAAGAUUUUAUGUUUGUGGUCUUCCCCUUAAAUUGAAAAUGCCCUUGUAAGACUUGACAGUAGUGGAAAAAUAUUGACAUAUUUUUUUUUUCAAGGGGGGGAGGAAUCUGUUAGACACCUUAUUUAUAUAGGUUAGUUAUUUUAGUUAUUUAGCGACGCACCAUAGUAGACGCAUAUUGAACGGGACUAGUGACGUUUGGGAUAUGUUGGGUUAGAGACCGGAAAAUCAGUUAGCGUUAGAACAUUCCAGGGUAACGACGUGUUUAGUGACAGAGACUUCUACUGUGGCCUUUUAUCAUAAUAAAUAUAUAUUAACUUGUU